rnacentral:rRNA from 1 species
UCCUACGGGGGGCAGCAGUAGGGAAUCUUCCCCAAUGGACGAAAGUCUGAUGGAGCAACGCCGCGUGAGUGAAGAAGGGUUUCGGCUCGUAAAGCUCUGUUUGUAGUGAAGAAAGAUAGAGGUAGUAAAUGGCCUUUAUUUGGCGGUAAUUACUUAGAAAGUCACGGCUAACUACGUGCCAGCAGCCGCGGUAAUACGUAGGUGGCAAGCGUUGUCCGGAUUUAUUGGGCGUAAAGCGAGUGCAGGCGGGUUGAUACAGCUGUUGUGUAA